AGAACUGUGACACAGGAGCAUCACUUGUGAAAGGUUACAAAUGUAAUGAAGGAUAUAUGAGCAACUGUAAUAUACCAGAAACAGGAGGCAGUUACAAAAUUAAUAAACGCAGACAGAAAACUUGCAAGUGAUCCUGCAUGAGAACUUAACACCAGACAGUAUUGUUACCAAACAGUAUUCUUUUGGAGGGAAUUCUGUUUAAAGAAAUUGGAGAUCAGAAGUUUUGAAGUUUGUGAUGGGAAAACGUAGAAGAGGUUAUUUCAAGUGUCACUUUUUAAACCCAUUUUCUUCACUGGACAGCCAUAACACCACAU